rfam:Pleurotus ostreatus PC15 unplaced genomic scaffold scaffold_01, whole genome shotgun sequence.
GGCGUCUUAGCUCAGCUGGGAGAGCAACAGACUGAAGAUCUGGAGGUCCCGUGUUCAAUCCACGGAGAUGCCA